ensembl:lncRNA
AUGCACACUCUCUCUCACACUUUCACACUCUCGCUCGCUCACUCACACACACACACACUCACUCUAACACAAACACACACUCACUCACUCACACACGCACACUCACACGCACACACUCUCACUCACACACACACACACACACACACACACUCUCUCUCUCUCACACACACUCACACAUUCACACACACACACACACUCACUCUCACACACGCACACUCACUCACACUCGCACACUCUCACACGCACACACUCUCACACGCACACACUCUCACUCACACACACACACACACACACACACACUCACACACACACUCACACACACUCUCACACACACACACAUACACACACACUCACUCACGCUCACACACACACACACUCGCUCACACACACACACACUUGCUCACACACACACACACGCUCACACACUCUCGCGCACACACACUCUCGCGCACACACACACACUCUCGCGCGCACACACACUCUCGCGCGCACACACACUCUCGCGAACACACACACUCUCGCGCACACACACUCUCGCGCACACACACUCUCGCGCACACACACACACACACUCUCGCGCACACACACACACUCUCGCGCACACACACUCACAUUCUCACAAACUCACUCACACAGUCUCUCUCACACACACACACACCCUCACGUACACUCAUACUCUCUCACACACACACACUUACUCACACACACACACACUCACAGUCUCUCUCACACAAACACAUUCUCUCACGUACACUCAUACUCUCUUACACACUCACACACACACACUUACUCACACACACACACUCUCUCUCACACACACUCACAGUCUCUCUCACACAAACACAUUCUCUCACACACUCACACAGGUGUGAAGCUAACUCACCUCCACCGAUAAAACACUGCCCUUCAUCACACUGUCCAUCUGAAUCAGUGAACCCUCCUCCAGCUGCAGACAACACACACACACACACACACAGAGGAGGAGGUAGAGUACGAUGCGUCACAUGA